GACGAACGCUGGCGGCGUGCUUAACACAUGCAAGUCGAACGGAAAGGCCCCUUUGGGGGUACUCGAGUGGCGAACGGGUGAGUAACACGUGAGUAACCUGCCCUUGACUUCGGGAUAACUUCAGGAAACUGGGGCUAAUACCGGAUAGGAAUCCUUGCUGCAUGGUGGGGGUUGGAAAGCUUCGGCGGUUUUGGAUGGACUCGCGGCUUAUCAGCUUGUUGGUGGGGUAGUGGCUUACCAAGGCUUUGACGGGUAGCCGGCCUGAGAGGGCGACCGGCCACAUUGGGACUGAGAUACGGCCCAGACUCCUACGGGAGGCAGCAGUGGGGAGUAUUGCACAAUGGGCGGAAGCCUGAUGCAGCAACGCCGCGUGCGGGAUGACGGCCUUCGGGUUGUAAACCGCUUUCAGCAGGGGCGAAGCUUGUGGUGACGGUACCUGCAGAAGAAGCACCGGCUAACUACGG
rnacentral:rRNA from 1 species